GACGAGCGCUGGCGGCGUGCCUAAUACAUGCAAGUCGAGCGCAGGAAACCGUCUGAACCCUUCGGGGGGACGACGGUGGAAUGAGCGGCGGACGGGUGAGUAACACGUAAAGAACCUGCCCACGGGUCUGGGAUAACCACGAGAAAUCGGGGCUAAUACCGGACGGGUCAUCGGACCGCAUGGUCCGAGGAUGAAAGGCGCUCCGGCGUCGCCCGUGGGUGGCUUUGCGGUGCAUUAGCUAGUUGGUGGGGUAACGGCCCACCAAGGCGACGAUGCAUAGCCGACCUGAGAGGGUGAUCGGCCACACUGGGACUGAGACACGGCCCAGACUCCUACGGGAGGCAGCAGUAGGGAAUCUUCCACAAUGGACGAAAGUCUGAUGGAGCAACGCCGCGUGAACGAUGAAGGCCCUCGGGUCGUAAAGUUCUGUUGUAAGGGAAGAACAAGUGCCGCAGGGAAUGGCGGCACCUUGACGGUACCUUGCGAGAAAGCCACGGCUAACUACGUGCCAGCCGCCGCAGUAA
rnacentral:rRNA from 1 species